CCCUUAGAUGUUCUGGGCCGCACGCGCGCUACAAUGGCAGACUCAGCGAGUUACCUCUGUCGAAAGGCACAGGGAAUCUUUACAGUAUCUGCCGUGAUGGGGAUAGACCCUCGUAAUUUUUGGUCUUCAACGAGGAAUUCCUAGUAAACGCAAGUCAUUAACUUGCAUUGAUUACGUCCCUGCCCUUUGUACACACCGCCCGUCGCACCUACCGAUUGAAUGGUCCGGUGAAGUCCUCGGACCCAGUUGAACCUCGAGUUGAACAGGGAAAGUUGACUAAAUCUUACCAUUUAGAGGAAGGUGAAGUCGUAACA
rnacentral:rRNA from 1 species